rnacentral:sRNA from 1 species
CAUGCUACUUGAGUUGGGUGCUGCUGCUUUGUCGUCAUUAGCCAACCUAAGCGAUGUCAGUGCUUCUGGUAUAUAUUCUUUUGUUGGAGGGAUUGGAUUGGGUGAUUCGUACCCUCUAUACCACCACGGCGCUGGUGGUGAUUGAGCUCUUUUGCCCUAGUGGCCUAAUAUCUUUACCCUUAACUCAACUUCAGUGACCCCGCAAGAUUGCGUCAAUAAUAAGUGCAUGAUAAGACAUUAUCAUCGGAAUGAACUUUGUAAGGUUGCGUCCUUACAUGUAUUUUUACUAUAACACGUAUAUGUCUGGGCUUGGGAAUGUUGAGGGCGAUGGAGGUUAUAGAGUUUGUGCAAUAUGGCAAGAUGCAAAAACGAUGAACUCGUCUCAUCCCUCCCCGAACAUGCU